rnacentral:rRNA from 1 species
GAUGAACGCUGGCGGCGUGCCUAAUACAUGCAAGUCGAACGCAUUGAGAGAAGUGCUUGCACUUUUCAAUUUGAGUGGCUAACGGGUGAGUAACACGUGGGCAACCUACCUGAUAGCGGGGGAUAACGAGUGGAAAAAUUCGCUAAUACCGCAUACCAAUAGAGAAGGCAUCUUCUUUAUUUAAAAGACGCUUUCAAGCGUCACGAUCAGAUGCGCCGGCGGUGCAUUAGUUAGUUGGUGGGGUGAAGGCCUACCAAGACGAUGAUGGAUAGCCGAGUUGAGAGACUGAUUGGUCACAGUGGGACUGAGACACGGCCCAAACUCCUACGGGAGGCUGCAGUAGGGAAUCUUCCACAAUGGACGAAAGUCUGAUGGAGCAACGCCGCGUGUGUGAUGAAGGCUUUCGGGUCGUAAAGCACUGUUGUAUGGGAAGAAAUGCUAGGCUAGGAAAUGAGCUUAGUUUGACGGUACCAUACCAGAAAGGGACGGCUAAAUACGUGCCAGCCGCCGCAGUAA